GUGCUCACUUAGGCGGCACAUAUCCUAAAAUUGGGAUGAUACUGAUGAGGUUAGCAUAGGCCCUGCACAGGAUGCAAUAAAAGUGUUCCAUUAAAGAAAU
rnacentral:snRNA from 1 species